rnacentral:rRNA from 1 species
GAUGAACGCUGGCGGCGUGCCUAAUACAUGCAAGUCGAGCGAAGCGGGGACGGGGGAGUAACACGUAGAUAACCUCCUAUAAGACUGGGCUUACUUCGGGAAAACGGAGCUUAACCGGCUACUUAUAGCAGGAGCCGCGCUGCAUUAGCUAGUUGGGAAGGUAACGGCUUACCAAGGCAACGGUGCAUAGACGACCUGAGAGGGUGAUCGGCCAAACUGGAACUGAGACACGGUCCAGACUCCUACGUGAGGCAGCAGUAGGGAAUCUUCCGCAAUGGGCGCAAGCCUGAAGGAGCAACGCCGCGUGAGUGAUGAAGUUCUUCGGAUCGUAAAACUCUGUUAUGAGGGAAGCGGUACCUAAUCAGAAAGCCACGGCUAACUACGUGCCAGCAGCCGCGGUAAUUC